GGGGAAAGCUACUGUGCUUUAGGCAAGAGGCCCUGGGGCAUACACCUCCCAUAGCUUUACUCUGUCUAAAACCACUUGGAAAGACCUGGGCGGACCACCCCCUGUAUUUUGGUUAGAGAUCUUGGUUUGACAGCCCUGACCCGUCGAGGCUUGGACUCCACUAGACCUCUGAAGGUGUGCUGUGGCAUCUGGCACCAAUACAUUAGCAGCAGAUCCUUUAAGUCCUGUCGCGUUAUUCUGCGGAAAGAGGCCAAUGAAAUCAGGGAAUACCGUUGUCAUGGAAGGGUGCACAUGAUCUGCAACAAAGCUUAGAAUCCUGCAUCAUGGAGAGAAAAAGAGGAAAAAGAAAGAUCACCGACAAUUUUUCAAGGAUGAGAGCAGCAUCCAAAGACCGCACGUACACUGAUGCUGACAGAAAGAAGUACACUGGGAUGCUGAACAGACUGACCAGCACAGGCUUUGUUACAGACCUAGCCACCAUGAGAGAUGUGCUUCAGGAACUUAAAAGUCUUUCACUGAAACUGCAAAGGAGUACAUCCCUAACAGAUGCCAGCCAGGACAUUAGACUGACAAUGGAGGUUUUGGAUGCAAUGAAGACACAAGGAGGAAUGUCAAUGAGAGAAGCAAAAUAAUCUUUGAUGGAGGGAACCUUUAAGGGAGUAGCCCUGAAGGAAAGCACAGAGAAGGUUAAUCAGCUUCAGUUCUUUCAGGCAGUGAUCGACAUCCUGUCAAGUCGUCUUCCAGAUUCUGAACUCACAAAGUUAUUGAAACCAUUAGACCCUCACAUCUGGCCCAAAACAAGAGAUGAACUGAUCUUGUAUGGGGAGGACGAGAUAUAUGAACUUGCAAAGGAUCUGGGUGAAUCCGCCAGAGAGGCUGUUGAAGAUUUCCGUUCCUGGAAACUGCAAAAGGAUCAAAGUGGGAAGACCUUAAGAAGAUUGAUAGUUGCAAGCCAAACAUAUCUAGCAACUUCAGCAGAGUGUGAACGAGGGUUUUCUGCCAUGAAUGAUACAGCCAGUAAGACAAGAAAUCGCCUGAGGGUCAGAAGUCUCUCAGCUGUCUUGUUCGUCGACAUUAAUGCACCCCCAUUGGAGAUGUUCGACCCUAAGCCUUUUGUGAUGUCCUGGCUUAAAGAAGGGCACUGCCCAUCUACUGCAAAGAAGGCAGCAAAGAAUAAGAGAGAAGACAGACCACUGUGGUCCAUUAUGUGUUGAUGUUGGACCUCCUUUAAAGGUCUAGAGCAGGGGUGCCUGCCCAGUCCUGCUCCUGGAGAGCUACUGUUCUGUAGGUGUUCUCUCCAACCCCAGUUAACCCCUAACCUGAUGAAGUUGUUAACAAAUGAAUAAAAUAUGUGCCUAGUCACUUAACAUGUUGAUUUUGAAUAAUGUGGUUACUAUUGGAUUAUUGUCAUUUUAAUGUCAUGUUAGAAUAUCAAACUUUUUUUUUUUUUCGUGUCCCUUAAGAUUUUACUUCAGG
ensembl:lncRNA